UACCUUGUUACGACUACCCCAGUCAUGAAUCCUGCAGUAGUAAUCGCCCUCCUUGCAGUUGGGCUAACUGCUUCUUGAUGAAACCCCUCCGCAUGGUAUGACAGGCGGUGUGUACAAGACCGGGAACGUAUUCACGACAUGCUGAUCCGCGAUUACUGGCGAUUCCGACUUCACGCAGUCGAGUUUGCAGACUGCGAUCCGGACUACGAUCAGGUUUCUGGGAUUGGCUCCCCCUCGGGUGGCGACCCUCUGUCCCGACGAUGUAUGACGUGUGAAAGCCUACCCAUAAAGACCACAAGGGACUUGACGUCAUCCCACCUUCCUCUGGUUUGUCUGGCAGUCUCAUUAGAGUGCCCUUUCGUAGCAACUAAUGACAGGGUUGCGCUCGUUGCAGGACUUAACCAACAUCUCACGACAGGCUGACAGGCAGCCACAUGCAGCACCUGUGUUCAGUUCUCGCCUGCAACCUCCCAGAAUCUCUUCAGGAUUCCAGACAUGUCAGGGUAGGUAAGUUUUUUUGCGUUGCAUCAGUUAAUCCACAUCAUCCACCGCUUAUGCGUUCCCCGUCAAUUCCUUCGGUUAAUCUUGCGACCGUACUCCCAGGCAGUCGCUUAUACCCGUUAACUGCGCUACCGAACCCGGCCCCAACGACUGGAUGACAUCGUUUAAGAUGCGUGGACUACCAGAAUAUCCCUGAUCUGUUUGCUCCACGCUUUCGUGCAUGACGUCAGUGUUAUCCCGGAGGCUGCCUUCGCCAUCGGUGUUCCUCCGCAUAUCACUGCGCAUUGCUGCUACCAUUCCACCCUCCUCAAACACCCUCUGGCUCAUUGAUUAAAUGCGGAUUCAGAAGUUAGCUCUGGAUUUCAUCUUUCUUCCGAACCGCCUGCGCUUUACGCAAUAAUGUUCCGAUUAGCAACGCACCUACGACCAAUAAUACCACAACUGCUGGCACAUGGUGCUCAAUGCUUAUUCUGGAAAUUACCGUCGGUUGCACGGGUAUUAUCCGUCUCGUUUCUUUCUGUAAAAGUGCUUUACUAGCCCAGCCUUCAUCGCGCACGCCCGGGAUGGCUGGAUCGGGUUUCCCCAUUGUCAAAUUCCUGCCUCGUAGAGUCUGGGCCGUGUCUCCCGGUCCCAGUGUAGCUGGUCGUCAUCUCCAAACCGGCUGCGGAUCGUCGCUGGUGAGCCGUUGCCCACCAACUAGCUAAUCCGAUAUCAGCCCGCUCCUGUGGUGCAGGCCCGAAGGUCCCCACUUUCCCCCGAAGGGCAAUAUGCGGUAUUAGCUACGCUUCGCGUAGUUGUCACGCUACUGAGCACGUUCGAUACAUUACUCGCCGUUCGCCGCUCGCCACCAGACCGAGUCGUGCUGCCGUUCGACUUGCAUGUAAAGCAUCCGCCAGCGUUCCAGUCUGAGCCAUGAUCGAACUCCUGCUCUGUUGUUCGGACAGGCCGGGUUACGUUCGUAGGUGAACCUGCAGAGGGAUCACAUUACCAGAGUGCCUAGGCUCUCCAACCCAUUAAUGAACACCUGUCGUUCAUCGGCGGGCUCAUGCUGCGGUGCCUCAGGCUCCGGGCGUCCACGUAGGGACAACAAACUCUGAUUUUAUUGUGAAUCUCAGGGGGCGGCCGACAGCAAAAUGAAUCCAUUUCGCAACAGAUCUCUUAACUCUGGCAUCGAUGAAGAACGCCUGGCGAAAUGCGUAAGUAAUGUAAUUGCCAGAAUUCAGUAGAUCAUCAGAUCUUUAUCGACACUUGUGCGCCCGCCGGCACUUUCCGGCGGGCAUACCUAUCCGAGCGAUGUUCAACCUCAGGACCCCUUUCAGGGGCUGAGUGCUAAGGGGAUCAACGGCCUCCGAGCCCCUGUCCCCCAAUUGGUGGCGAUCGCGCCGCAACCUCCACCUGCACGUAGCACCUCGCACCGGAGAGCAGCUCGGCCACGCCGUGAAACCCCUAAUUUUAAGGUUGACCUCGGAUCAGGUAGGAAUACCCGCUGAACUUAAGCAUAUCAGCCGGAAUAUCAUAGACAUUUUGAAAGCAACC
rnacentral:misc_RNA from 1 species